rnacentral:misc_RNA from 1 species
AGAUGCGAUAAGUAAUGUGCAUUGCAGAAUUCAGUGAAUCAUCGAAUCUUUGAACGCACCUUGCGCUCCUUGGUAUUCCUUGGAGCAUGCCUGUUUGAGUAUCAUGAAAUCUUCAAAGUAAAUCUUUUGUUAACUCAAUUGGUUUCUACUUUGGUAUUGGAGGUCUUUGCAGCUUCACACCUGCUCCUCUUUGUUCAUUAGCUGGAUCUCAGUGUUAUGCUUGGUUCCACUCGGCGUGAUAAGUUAUCUAUCGCUGAGGACACUGUAAAAGGUGGCCAAGGUAAAUGCAGAUGAACCGCUUCUAAUAGUCCAUUGACUUGGACAAUACUUUUAUGAUCUGAUCUCAAAUCAGGUAGGACUACCCGCUGAACUUAAGC